UAAUAUGUUAGAAGUACACACACAUAUAUAUAAUUUAGGUAAUUUAGGUUAUGGCACCUCCUCGCCUCUUGCCUAAGGCCACAAGGUACCUUGUCGCCUUUCGUCUUAAUAACACUGCUUCUAAGAGGGUCCAACCUUAGAGAGAGAUCAAUUUUCAUAUAUAUUAACUUUCUUAAGCUUGGUCCUCUUUUGAACUUCCAGACAUUGCAACACUUUAUGUAGGAGUGGCCACUAGGCCAGUUCCAGUUCAAGGGGACCAGAACUGGAACCACAGGGUCCCCCUUGGUUCUGAUUUUGAUCAAAGCCACCAUUUGAAAUUUUUUCAAAAUUUUAAUUUUUAAAAAAGGUAAAAAAAAAAUCCAGUUUUGGAUCAAACUGAACAGUUCCAGUCUGGUUCAAGGAUAGUUUUGGUCAAACUGCUUUUGACCAGUUUCAGUUGCUGAUUGGACUGGUCCACUUCCGAUUUUGAACCAGACAAUGGACAGAUCUAACUUUAUGUCAACAACAGACCAAAACCAAUACUAAAUUUUAACGUAUAACCAUAUGACCGGCCAUGUUAUA
rnacentral:misc_RNA from 1 species